GACGAACGCUGGCGGCGUGCUUAACACAUGCAAGUCGAACGGGAUUUAGUAGACAGAAGCCUCGGCUAAAGAUUACUAAUGAGAGUGGCGAACGGGUGAGUAACGCGUGAGCAACCUGCCUAUGACAGUGGGAUAGCCUCGGGAAACCGGGAUUAAUACCGCAUAACAUCGUAGAAACACAUGUUUUAACGGUCAAAGAUUUAUCGGUCAUAGAUGGGCUCGCGUCUGAUUAGCUAGUUGGUGAGAUAACAGCCCACCAAGGCGACGAUCAGUAGCCGGUCUGAGAGGAUGAACGGCCACAUUGGAACUGAGACACGGUCCAAACUCCUACGGGAGGCAGCAGUGGGGAAUAUUGCACAAUGGGGGAAACCCUGAUGCAGCGACGCCGCGUGAACGAAGAAGGUAUUCGUAUCGUAAAGUUCUGUCCUAUGGGAAGAUAAUGACAGUACCAUAGAAGAAAGCUCCGGCUAAAUACGUG
rnacentral:rRNA from 1 species